GAGUCUGGGCAGCUGCUUCUGCACAGCCGCCGCUCAUGUCAAAACUCCUGAAGGACUUUGCAAGCUAAUUGCAACACCCCAUGGUCAGAUCCAGGCUUUGCGAGGUCUGAAGUAAUAAUUUAUAGCACACUUCAAUGGUAGCUGUUAGAACAAGGUUACUUCCAGGGUGAAAGGAAGCACCAAAGCCCACAAGGCAUGCUGGAGUGUCCAGUGCUGAACAAAGACAAUGACGUUUUAAAAUCUGUGAACCUUUGGCCACGGUGCAUCGCUGACAUUUGUAAGGGUAAGGUCACACAUCUCGACAAAAUUAAGCGCCCACAGCCUUCGUCACCCUGAUUCGCGGUUCCGCUGUAAAAGGGCUCUAUUCCCCCUCUAUAUCAGAGGUGGAAAUUUCCACGCCUAUUUCUCCGACCCCCUGGAGCAAAGCUUGACUGAGGAACCUGAAGAAGGCAGUGUUUAGGGUCUGGCCAGAUGGAUGCAGCGCAGGAAACAAAGCACGGCAGGAAGGUGGCAGAGUUGCUCCGAUUAACCAGAGGGCUACCGGCUUUCGCACUCUCUGAACACGGAAGAACAUUUACUGAAUGGGAAAAAAGGUUAACCUCGGUUUCUUGCAGGGCUGGAUGAAAAAUCAGCCCUUGCGUCGAGAAAAAAAUGACAGGGGGUAACGUAACAGCUUCUGCCCUAACUCCGUGGUGAGUCGGGCGGCUCGCAAAGCUCUCAGCAAGCCCAGGAGCAGGGCGAGACCCGGGGCGGCGGCUGUCACACACCGGGGUCCCCGCGGAGCGCCCGCACCGCCACCAGCACCGCCACCGCUGCCUCCCCACCGCCUCCGAGGCCAGGCGGGCUUACCCCACCGGGGCACCCGAAGGGUCGCUCUCUGGGGCGUUGCCGGGGGUAGGAGCCGCCGGCCAGGACUCUCAGGCCAGCACGCAGACCCCUCUUUCCCGGGGAGAAGGGGCCGGGGCCCGGCAGGCAGGGGCGGGGUGUCCCCCAGACGCAAGGCCGGCUCUCCCCGGCGCGGGGGCGGUGCGGCGCU